UGGGCAACCUGCCCCUCUCUCUGGGAUAACUCCGGGAAAACCGGGGACUAAUACUGGAUAUGACAUUUGCGCGCAUGCGUGGGUGUGGAAAGUUUUUCGGCUAGAGAUGAGCCCGCGGCCUAUCAGCUUGGUGGUGGGGUGAUGGCCUACCAGGCUUUGACGGGUAGCCGGCCUGAGAGGGCGACCGGCCACACUGGGACUGAGACACGGCCCAGACUCCGUACGGGAGGCAGCA
rnacentral:rRNA from 1 species